GACGUAGGGCGCGAGCGUUGUCCGGAUUUAUUGGGCGUAAAGAGCUCGUAGGCGGCUUGUCGCGUCGUCCGUGAAAACCUGCAGCUCAACUGCAGGCUUGCGGUCGAUACGGGCAGGCUGGAGUUCGGUAGGGGAGACUGGAAUUCCUGGUGUAGCGGUGAAAUGCGCAGAUAUCAGGAGGAACACCAACGGCGAAGGCAGCUCUCUGGGACGUUACUGACGCUGAGACGCGAAAGCGUGGGGAGCAAACAGG
rnacentral:rRNA from 1 species